UACGGAGGGAGCUAGCGUUGUUCGGAAUUACUGGGCGUAAAGCGCGCGUAGGCGGCUUUGUAAGUUAGAGGUGAAAGCCCGGGGCUCAACCCCGGAACUGCCUUUAAAACUGCAUCGCUUGAAUCCGGGAGAGGUGAGUGGAAUUCCGAGUGUAGAGGUGAAAUUCGUAGAUAUUCGGAAGAACACCAGUGGCGAAGGCGGCUCACUGGACCGGCAUUGACGCUGAGGUGCGAAAGCGUGGGGAUCAAACAGG
rnacentral:rRNA from 1 species